AUGGCCGGAGAUGACGAAGACGAAGGCGAAAUGGCGGCGUUGCGGGAGGCUCUGCGGCAGCAGAGUCUUGCCGUCGAGAUGCUCAAGGCCGAGCUGGAGGAGGAGAGGCAGGCGGCGUCGUCGGGGGCCGACGAGGCGCUGGCCAUGAUCCUGCGGCUGCAGGGCGAGAAGGCGGCGGUGCGGAUGGAGGCCGACCAGUUCCGGCGGGUGGCGGAGGAGAGGAUCCUGCACGACGAGGACUCCCUGGCCUUCCUCAAGGCCGUCGUCUUCAGCCAGGAGAUGGACAUCACCUCCCUCAAGAACCGCCUGCUGGUCGUCUGCGGCAGCAACGGUCCCCACGCGCCGCCCCCCGGCCGGGAUGGCGUCGUCGACCUCCCCUGGCUAAGGAGGCUGGCCCAGAAAGACGUGUCCUCGGGGAGGAACGCCUCUCUCCCGGCGGCGCGGCUCGAGGAGCUGUCCUCGGAUUUCGAUGCCGCCGAGAGCGUCGGCGACAGCAGGCCGGCGAGGACGGUGUCGGACAUCGGGGAGGUGAUCCGGAGGGAGAAGGAGUGGGUGCGGUCCAACGUGAGCCACCAGGCGUUGCCGCCGAGGCUGCACCGGUCGUCCUCCCACCGUCUCCCGCGGGCGCCGAGCUACUCGGCGCAAUGCGCCAUGCCCAAUGUCCACGACAAGUUUGAGGCGCCGGAGAGCGUCGCGUCCCAUGCCCCUCCGAGAUCCAGCAGGAGGUCGUCGCCGGAGAUAAUCUCCGAAGAAGACGACGUGAUCUCGUCGUCGACGCGGCGCGGUGACUGCAACGGCCCCAAUCCAGGAGACGAGCACGCAAACGGCGCCAUUGCCGAUCUGGGAGCCGGCAUUGAUGAGAUCAAAUCCAGCGUGCAGACCCUCGCGACCGAGCUCGGCAGAAUGAGGGAAAACAGCAUGUCCAGAGGCGACGCGCAGAUGCACGUGCUGGCCGAGAUCUGCGCAAAGCUCGACGCCAUGAGGCCCAUGGGCAUCAGCAAGCAACAGAAUGUUGUUCAUGGAGGCAAGAAACACUCCAUCAGAGAAGUAGGCAGUUCUUCUUCCAAGGGGCCGGUGGCUCUGCCACAGAGUGAGCUUCUGAUGAACCAUUUCAUUGAGGCAAUGAUGUACAUACCGUGA
rnacentral:rRNA from 1 species